rnacentral:lncRNA from 1 species
GUUACAUCGUCAGGCAUUGCAAAACCAGAAUAGCUAAUGAUUCACAUAGACUAUAGAAUGCAUUAUAGACAAUGAAAUGCAUCGUGGUCACGACAUAGGUGGUCGAUCGGCGACAACUAACCAACAAAGGACUAAAACAAGCAGUCUACUUAGGGGGAACAAGCUCUGAAUUCCCAGUUUUUAAGGGUUUGGGCUCAUCUCCUUGGGUCACAUCUCUGAUAGUCAUCCUACGGUACAUGCUGACAUGCUCAACCUCCUGCAGCCGUUCGUAAGCAUUAUCUCUUCAAUCAUCUGGAGCUCAGACUUCAUGAUAUUGGCUUUCUCCAUGACCUUCGAGUUGAUCUCUUUCUCCUUUGCAGCUCCACCCUGCUCUGCCCUUCUACCAGUCUGAACUUGUUGGCAGAGUAAACAUCAAAGUGCUAUCUCAGCACACCCGCAAAAAAAAAAAGUGCUAUCUCAGCCUUCACUAGCUGACUCAUCAAAGUCGAGUUUCAGACUUCACUAUCUGAUUUAACAACUAACUUGCAUAAACUAGAAAAUCAUUCUACUACCAUAAACUCAAAAGCUAAACGAUAUUUGUAGACCAGUGGGAGCAGGCUGAAGACGUCGUUCAGGCAGUGCACCAAUGUACCCACCACCAGCGGGAUGGACAAAUGUUGCCGGGCAAACUCCACAUCCGCCAAAGUUCUUCCAGUCAACUG